rnacentral:rRNA from 3 species
CUGCCAGUAGUCAUAUGCUUGUCUAA